rnacentral:RNase_P_RNA from 1 species
GACAGUCGCGUGGAAGGGGCGAAAGGCCCUUCCGUGAGGAAAGUCCGGGCUCCACAGGGCAAGGAUAACGGGUAACGCCCGCCGAAGGCGACUUCAGGAAAAGUGCAACAGAGAUAUACCGCCUCGUCGUCGCAAGCUUCCUAUUCUUUUUCGUUUUCUCUACACUCCGUAAAGAACCCAGCGAAGCGGUUCUUUACGGAAAAGGAGGAACAGCGAAAUGAGUGAGCCGUGCCGUAUCGCGGCGCGGCGAAGGAUAUGAAGCUUGUGACGACGUGGUAAGGGUGGAAAAGUGCGGUAAGAGCGCACUCAAUGGCUGGGAACAGUCCAUUGCUGUAAACUCUAUCCGGAGCAACACCGGUAUGGGAGCGGGAGCUUCGCGCUCUAAGGCUGGCCCGGCCGCUCCCGGGGUGGCUUGAGCGUAUCGGCAACGGUACGUCGAGAUAGAUGACUGUCAAAUACAGAACCCGGCUUAUAGUUUUGCUCG